AUUGAACGCUGGCGGCAGGCUUAACACAUGCAAGUCGAGCGGAGAUGAGGUGCUUGCACCUUAUCUUAGCGGCGGACGGGUGAGCAAUGCUUAGGAAUCUGCCUAUUAGUGGGGGACAACAUUCCGAAAGGAAUGCUAAUACCGCAUACGUCCUACGGGAGAAAGCAGGGGAUCUUCGGACCUUGCGCUAAUAGAUGAGCAUAAGUCGGAUUAGCUAGUUGGUGGGGUAAAGGCCUACCAAGGCGACGAUCUGUAGCGGGUCUGAGAGGAUGAUCCGCCACACUGGGACUGAGACACGGCCCAGACUCCUACGGGAGGCAGCAGUGGGGAAUAUUGGACAAUGGGGGGAACCCUGAUCCAGCCAUGCCGCGUGUGUGAAGAAGGCCUUAUGGUUGUAAAGCACUUUAAGCGAGGAGGAGGCUACUGAGACUAAUACUCUUGGAUAGUGGACGUUACUCGCAGAAUAAGCACCGGCUAACUCUGUGCCAGCCGCCGCCGUAAUAC
rnacentral:rRNA from 1 species